GGGCUGGGUUGUCGCCCACGUGCAACUGC
rnacentral:sRNA from 1 species